rnacentral:rRNA from 1 species
CAGCACCUCAAGUGGUCAGGAUGAUUAUUGGGCCUAAAGCAUCCGUAGCCGGCUCUGGAAGUUUUCGGUUAAAUCUGUAUGCUCAACAUACAGGCUGCCGGGAAUACUGCAGAGCUAGGGAGUGGGAGAGGUAGACGGUACUCGGUAGGAAGGGGUAAAAUCCUUUGAUCUAUUGAUGACCACCUGUGGCGAAGGCGGUCUACCAGAACACGUCCGACGGUGAGGGAUGAAAGCUGGGGGAGCAAACCGGAUUAGAUACCCGUGUAGUCC